rnacentral:rRNA from 1 species
AUGGAAGCCAUUGCGGCCUCGGCGAAGCCCACCCUCCGCGUGGCCGCUCUCAGCGGCUCCCUCCGCAACAACUCGUGGCACCACGGCCUCAUCCGUGCCGCCGAGGAGCUGUGCGAGGAGUGCAUGCCUGGGCUGCGCAUCGACCACGUCGACAUCUCCGGCCUGCCCAUGGCCAACCCGGACCUGGAGACCGACGGCGGCAACGGCUUCCCGCAGGCCGUCGAGGCCUUCCGCGACAGGAUCAGCGCCGCCGACUGCUUCCUCUUUGCCUCGCCCGAGUACAACUACUCCGUCACCGGCUCGCUCAAGAACGCGCUGGACUGGGCGUCCAGAGGCACGCACAAGUGCUGGGCGGACAAGGCGGCGGCGAUCGUCUGCGCGGGGGGCGACUUCGGCGGGGGCAGGGCGUCGCUCCACCUGCGCGAGAUCGGGAUAUACCUGGACCUGCACUUCAUCAACAAGCCGGAGCUCCACAUCAGGGCGUACGAGGACCCGCCCAAGUUCGACGGCGAGGGGAACCUCAUCGACGCCCAAGCCAGGGAGCGGCUCAAGAAGGUGCUCCUCUCGCUGCAGGCCUUCACGCUCAGGCUGCAACGCACGGAGAAUUGA